AGGGUUAUAACUCAGGGGUAGAGUAUCUGCUUUGCAUGCAGAAGGUCUCAAGUUCAAUCCCUGGUAUCCCUA